UACUGCUUGAUUUGUUAAAGACUGAUGGGAUUGGUGGAUGAAUUUAGGGUUUUUGAAAUCCAAAUGAUUGAGUCGAUCCCGGUUUUUGAUAUUAUCUGUACGAUUGAAGAUAAGCAUAAUUUUAGGAAAUCACGCGAAUUUGCAUGCGACGUAAAAAACUUAUGUUACAAUGAUGCCAGACUUUCGAUUCGGGUUAAUCUCCAUUUCCCUAAGCAGGCUCUGGACUUAUAAUUGUUGUGAAUAGUAAACUAAGGGGGUGUUUUAGACUGCCCCAGGUUCCAGCUCCAGCUGGAGCUAUAGUUUAUAAUAUAAAUUUGCAUAGCUUAAAAAGUAUUUUUAAUUUAAAUAAUAAACAAAACGAUUUAUCUAAAUGACUAAAUGUUAUCUAAAGGUUCACAACUCCAGUUCCGCAGUUUUCUGGAGCAUCUAAUGACCUGCUCUACCAACUCUAUCAAAUUUUCUAGAGCUGCAGCAGUCCCAAACACCCGCAGUUAUAAAUUGUCCAUGAUCAUGGAUCAUGAUGCUUUUAUCCUCCUUUAUGUUUAUUAAGGUAACUAGAACAUUAGGCGCCCAUUCGGGCGCCCUACAGUUGUUUAAGACAGAAGCUAAUGUCGACGAACCAACAUAGUUUUGUGCAACUAUAUUAAUUAGAUGGUAAUAGUAAGAUUUAAAUAAACACAUCAGGGCACCAGAUUUAGGCGAAAAGUCAUUAGAAAUUAAUGUUAAUAUAAGUUGUGUAAGGAUGACAAGUAACAAAGAGCAUCUUUGGAAUAAAACUAAAGGCUCAAUAUCUUUACCAUCAUUCCAUUAUCUAAAAAAAAUCUUUACCAUCAUUUCUAAGACUGUAGCAGCACCACUCACUGCCCUCCCCAACAGAGCAGAAAGAAAUCCAAUUCAUUGGCCUAUUGAAAAUUCUAAAUUCUAUCACUGUGUGAAAGAAACCUAUCUUCAUAGGUAGUUACAGAGAGCAGACUGAAAACUCUUGCGUUCAAAGAGUGAUAAAAAGCAAGUAACAAUGCUAGUUAGGAUCCAAACUGUUAAAACAUGUUAUGAUGUAACUGAUAAAAUUUAAUUCAAGUAAUCAUUCAUCAAUCAGGCUUUUCUGAAUCACUAAUAGUGUAUUUUAUAGAGUCAGAUUUUACAGAGUCACUUGUACUUGUUUCCUUGUUAGGAGGCGAACAUCUUACAGGUAAAAUCUGAUGUGCCACAAAUGAGGACAAGGUAGGACUUCUUCACUUUUGAACCAUCAGAAGAAAGGCAUGCUCACAAGCAUAGACAUCGAAUCUAUAGGAUUGUUCAAACUCCAUUGUUACAUGGUAACUGAAUAUGAGGCCAGUCAACCAAUCCACCAGCAAAACCAGCACGCAUGGCAAAGGUCACAAUCAUUUCACUCUGCUUCACAUUAUCAGCAUGAAACUGUAGAACAGCUCUUCAAGUUCCCAUGUUUAUCAGUCUGAACAAAAAAACUACAUCAGCCAAAUACUGUGUUUUUAAGACAACAAGAGAGUUAAUUGUCUAGCAAUUUUCUCUUAAUUUUACAGCACAAUAGGACUCACUGCAUUUCCUAAAAUGUUAUAAUUAGUCAGCUUCAGCAGAGAGUAAAAAGGGCAAAUUAAAAGAGCACACCUAAAAAGGACACCAGACGUUUACAUUGCAACACAUGUGACGGGUUUGAACCAACUUUUGGUAUUCACAAAUAGACAAGCUCUGCAGACUUGACAAUCAAAGAUAGAAAUUCAGAAGGCAUAUGAUGAAGGGAAGGAUGCAAAAGUAAAGGUAUUGGAUAGGUCAAUUGAAGAACUCGAUAACGUGUAUGUGUUUUAGAAUGCAAAGUAAGUUGUGUUCCUUCGUUUAUUUAGAAGUUAGUUAAUUUAAUAAACCUUGCUGCAAGACAAAUAUAUGUUACAGUAAUUGUUCCAAGAUAACUGAAGAGGCAUUGGAGAUCCAAGUAUUACCUUUAAUUUAAUAAACCUGAUUUAGUAGCAAGGCUUGCCAUCAUCAAUCAAAGGUGCUAUAACAUUUUCACAAAUACAUCUGACAUGGUGUCGAAACUUAGAGGAAAUUUCAAAGAAACAUUAAGGCAGUCGGGUGGCCUUGAUAAUAUUUUUAAUAUCAUGGUGAAUUGCCAUUCAGAAGUGGAGGUAAUACCUUGUUUAUGUGUCCAAUAGUAUACAACAAUUAUAAGCUCGUUGCAAUAAAAUAUCAGUAAAGCAUUGCCGUCUGCUAGUGUAUUUGAACUGUAACAUUUCUAGGAAAGAUGCUAAUGGACCGAGAGUCCGAGACAAAAGAAUACAUAUUCGCAGAUGGUUCUAGCUCAUGGGUUUGACCCUCAAUCACAACUGAAACAGCUAAAUGUGAAACUUCCAGAGUACCCACCAUAACAAACCACGAGGAGUUGCGACUGGCAGCAAGCAGCAACCAUAAAUUUAGAACUAUUAUAGCAGGGCACCUAGUUCAUGCGGCGUGAUUACCUGAUUGCUUUCUCAUGUGGUGUGAUUACCUGGUUGCUUUCUUGUUUACUGGGAGCAAUGGAGGGUGGAGCUUCCACUUCACCGAAUCAAGGUGACUUCACGGCUUCCUCUUCCGACUGCGCAUCGCCAGCUCCCGCAACGACCCGACCUUCACCAUGAGGAGCAUUGCCACCGCGGGUGAAUCAUAUCGGCCGCCGUUAGCCCUCCCUCUCCCGAUCUGCUACGAUUCUUUGACCAGGCCUUGGUCUAGAAACGAAAAGGCGGCGGGGUAAACAGCCGCAGAGUCGAGCAGUGGCCGCAGAGGCAAGCAGAGAGGCCAGUGGGACGACGUGGACCUGAUGGAGAGUGGCCUUGGGGAAUGUCUGUGAAGUGGAAGGGGGAGGAGAAGGAUGGAAGGGCCAAUGGUCCAACCGUGCCGCCUGUCGCGCGCGCCCGAGCUCGCCUGCGCGUCCCGCGGCUCGCUGUCUUAGCCCGCCGCCACGCAAAACCCUAUGGUCGACGCCACCCUGAACGAGUCAGCCGACGCCACAGAAGCCUCAGACGCCAGCGCACUGCCCUCGCUGGCGCUCGCCAUGGACACGACCGGCUAGCUCCACCUGAGACACUACGUGUGGCCACCCUUAUGCCCCCGUCGCCUUCUCGGGCGCCUUGAGGGCCACCAGCGACUUGACCCACCUGCUCGAUCACGACGGUGGAGAUGGAGGGGAUCUGGCGAACGUGUGUGUGCGUGGGCGGGGGGUGGGAAAGGGGGCGAAGACUUGCUUCCGAGCGAUGAUGAGGCUGGCUCCGUCGAGCGGCGGCGGCGCAGGGACGAGGAGCAAUGGAUCCAUGAAGGGAGUCGCCCUAUCGCUCGCGAGUACAGUGGAUCGGAUAUGGGGGAGCGGACGUGGACGCGAAUGGCUCCAUCGAAUUGAAGAAAUAUCUCGGGUCCGUAUGGGCAGUUGGGCACGUGCUGGCAUGCCGAACUCUCCAGACGCGUGAAACCCGGGGAGGGGCUAGAAUUCCCGUGGCUCCAGAUACAACAUCUCUGUCUGUCAAAUAUAACUUCUGUAUUCAGGUAAUGGUGACUUUAUGUGUUACUCCUUGUUAGCAGGGUUGUCCUGCCCAGGACACUGUUUUCAUGUUUUCUCGCCCCAUAUUUUGUGCUGUUGAGUCUGCGCAAUGGAGUUACAUAGAUUUGUUUUUCAAAUACUGUCUUAUCAUUUAUCUUGAUGCUGCAGAACCAAUAUACAAUAGGUCGAAUAGACUUGUUUGACUUGAGUUAUAAUUUGAAAAAUCUGAAAACAUUAGUCCUGUAAACCAGGCUGAGAUACUGGAGGGCAUUGUUUGUACUCAUGAAAACCUGACACAUUUGUGUUUGAUUUUGAUUAUGCACAUUAUUUUCUACAUAACUGUGUCUUGUAUCCUUGUCAUUGUCAUGACAUUGGCACCUCCCCCCCUCCACACACACACAGUUGUUCACCUGCUGUUUGAUAAUAUUUUGCCUACUAAUUAUUUUGAACUUAAAUUUUCUGGAUUUUAGAGUAAUCUAUUACCGUAUUAGUAUUAUAUUUAGAUUUUUUUGAAC